ACUCUACACACAGGAUUUUAAUUAUUCAAGUUUUAAAAAGUGCAAAUUGAUUUGAAUUGGAGAAAUCAGAGGGAAAAAAUAAAAAGGAAGUGCUGGAAUGUAAUUGAGCUUGUGUAUUCCUAAUAGAACAAGUAAUUGUGGAUGGAAAGGGAAGCUUCUUCAUCAAUCAUCAUAUACAACAAAGCUUUUCACUCAAAAUCCAUUCAUAAUAGACAAUAAUAACUGAACUAAAAGGUUUAGUGUGACUACUUAAGGGGAAAAAAAUUAAAAGUAUGUAAGAAGAGAACAAAAAAAAUUUCCCAACCCAAACUCAUAGUUACUACAACAUCAUCCAAAAUUCA